rnacentral:rRNA from 1 species
GAUGAACGCUGGCGGCGUGCCUAAUACAUGCAAGUCGAGCGAACGGACGAGAAGCUUGCUUCUCUGAUGUUAGCGGCGGACGGGUGAGUAACACGUGGAUAACCUACCUAUAAGACUGGGAUAACUUCGGGAAACCGUAGCUAAUACCGGAUAAUAUUUUGAACCGCAUGGUUCAAAAGUGAAAGACGGUCUUGCUGUCACUUAUAGAUGGAUCCGCGCUGCAUUAGCUAGUUGGUAAGGUAACGGCUUACCAAGGCAACGAUGCAUAGCCGACCUGAGAGGGUGAUAGGCCACACUGGAACUGAGACACGGUCAAGACUCCUACGGGAGGCAGCAGUAGGGAAUCUUACGCAAAGGGCGAAAGCAUGACGGAGCAACGGCGCGUGAGUGAUGAAGGUCUUCGGAUCGUAAAAAUCUGUUAUUAGGGAAGAACAUAUGUGUAAGUAACUGUGCACAUCUUGACGGUAACUAAUCAGAAAGCCACGGCUAACUACGUG